rnacentral:misc_RNA from 1 species
AAGUCGUAACAAGGUCUCCGUUGGUGAACCAGCGGAGGGAUCAUUAAAGAGUUGCAAAACUCCCACAAACCAUCGCGAACGUUACCCAGACGUCGUUGCUUCGGCGGGCUCGCCCGCCGGGGGGACGCUACCAGACUCUUGCAGUUAUACGGCCUCUCUGAGUAUGAUUUUUCAAUAAGUCAAAACUUUCAACAACGGAUCUCUUGGUUCUG